rnacentral:rRNA from 1 species
GCGGGGCGGCGUGCCCUUAAUACCAGCCAAGUUGAGGGAGCGGAAACCAACCGAUUUACUUCCGGAAAGACGUUGGGAAAAGCGAGCGGCGGGAGGGGUGAGUAACACGUGGGGAACCUGCCCCUAAGUCUGGGAUACCAUUUGGAAACAGGUGCUAAUACCGGAUAAUAAAGCAGAUCGCAUGAUCAGCUUUUGAAAGGCGGCGUAAGCUGUCGCUAAGGGAUGGCCCCGCGGUGCAUUAGCUAGUUGGUAAGGUAACGGCUUACCAAGGCGACGAUGCAUAGCCGAGUUGAGAGACUGAUCGGCCACAUUGGGACUGAGACACGGCCCAAACUCCUACGGGAGGCAGCAGUAGGGAAUCUUCCACAAUGGACGCAAGUCUGAUGGAGCAACGCCGCGUGAGUGAAGAAGGUUUUCGGAUCGUAAAGCUCUGUUGUUGGUGAAGAAGGAUAGAGGUAGUAACUGGCCUUUAUUUGACGGUAAUCAACCAGAAAGUCACGGCUAACUACGUGCCAGCAGCCGCGGUAAUACGUAGGUGGCAAGCGUUGUCCGGAUUUAUUGGGCGUAAAGCGAGCGCAGGCGGAAAAAUAAGUCUAAUGUGAAAGCCCUCGGCUUAACCGAGGAACUGCAUCGGAAACUGUUUUUCUUGAGUGCAGAAGAGGAGAGUGGAACUCCAUGUGUAGCGGUGGAAUGCGUAGAUAUAUGGAAGAACACCAGUGGCGAAGGCGGCUCUCUGGUCUGCAACUGACGCUGAGGCUCGAAAGCAUGGGUAGCGAACAGGAUUAGAUACCCUGGUAGUCCAUGCCGUAAACGAUGGAUACUAGCUGUUGGAGGUAUCGACCCCUUCAGUAGCGAAGCUAACGC